AUCCCCUGCUUGAGAAUCAGCUGUUCGCGUUUCUCUCGCGCUAUAGCCGGGAGAAAAGAAAGAAGAAGGGGGGAUCCUGCAUGUGCAAGCUGGAACCUACUACCGAACCUACGAUAGAAACAAGAACGAGGGAAACAAGGAAUUACAAGCAAAUACAAGAGGAAGAGGGGUUAUACCGAGCUAAAAGCAAGGGAUAACAAGGAAAGACAGGUUAUAAGAGUUAAGGUUUUAAUGCGUG
rnacentral:lncRNA from 1 species